rnacentral:tRNA from 1 species
GCCUCGGUGGCUUCGAGGCAAAGCGCCGGCCUAUAGAACCCCGGGAGGCGGGUUCGAAUCCCGGCUGAGGUG